UAGGGAAUCUUCCACAAUGGGCGAAAGCCUGAUGGAGCAACGCCGCGUGUGUGAUGAAGGGUUUCGGCUCGUAAAACACUGUUGUAAGAGAAGAAUGACAUUGAGAGUAACUGUUCAAUGUGUGACGGUAUCUUACCAGAAAGGGACGGCUAAAUACGUGCCAA
rnacentral:rRNA from 1 species